UGUGCUAAUACCGCAUAAUCUCUCAGGAGAAAAGCAGGGGAUCGCAAAGACCUUGCGCUUUAGGAGCGGCCGAUGCCUGAUUAGCUUGUUGGUAAGGUAAAAGCUUACCAAGGCUUCGAUCAGUAGCUGGUCUGAGAGGACGACCAGCCACACUGGGACUGAGACACGGCCCAGACUCCUACGGGAGGCAACAGUGGGGAAUUUUGGACAAUGGGGGAAACCCUGAUCCAGCCAUGCCGCGUGAGUGAAGAAGGCCUUCGGGUUGUAAAGCUCUUUCAGCCGGAACGAAACGGU
rnacentral:rRNA from 1 species